ACAAGUGGAAAACAAAAUCACAAGCUAUAUUUUCUUUCUUUCUUUGUUGCGUAUGAAUAAUUUUGAAAGAAGCAAAAAUGGUAAGCAAACAACUGCUAUUUGUGCUCAUGGCUCUCUUUUUCCUUCAACUAUCUGCAACUUGUCUAGCAAGAGUUGAAAAGAUGAAGAAAAAUGAUGAAGGAAGAGGAAGAGCAGUUAACAAAUUUAGCCACGGCAGUAUUCCUGGGGCUUCCGGCGGGAGAGGGGCAAGAAAUGGAGGAUCACACGUGCCCACUGGUGGUGGUGGUGUGACGCCGCUGUAUGCAGCAGCCGGUGCCGGUGCCGGUGGAGGUACUAACAACCACCACCCUCACCGCGGCGAAGGAAACCGCGGCACAAGCCCGGAGACAUUGGCCAUAAUUACAUUUGCAUGCUUUUUAAUUCUAUUCUGUAUUAAUUAACCAAUGGAGUACUAUUUUUUUUUUGGUUUUUUUGAGAUGCUGAAAAACUAGAAAAAUGUCUGUAUGUGUCAUGUGUGUGUCUUUUUUUUUCAUAGUUCAUCAUCAUCUUACCGGACGUAGGUUGGUUUUGUUUGCUAGUCUGUUUAUUAUUGUCAAAUGUACAAAAUAGUGGUUAUGUUAUUUUCUGAAGUGAAUUUUAGUUUUGCUA